GCCCUCAAAGGUGUGGGGAGCCAGGCACCUGUAGUCUCAGCUACUCAGAGGGCUGAGGUGGCAGGAUCGCAUGAGCCCAGGAGUUCUGGGCUGUAGUGUGCUGUGCCAAUCGGGUGUCCGCACUAAGUUUAGCAUCAAUAGGAUGACCUCCUGGGAGCAGGGACCACCAGGUUGCCUAAGAAGGGUUGACAUGGCCUGGGGCCAAAUGGAGCUGAUCAAAACUCCUGUGCUGAUCAGUAGUAGGAUACACCUGUGAAUAGCCACUGCACUCCCGCCUGGACAACAUAGCAAGACCCCGUGU
rnacentral:SRP_RNA from 10 species